AAUGAAAUGUAACAAGACAGGCGUCUUAGAGAAUAUAAGUCUCUAAGUCCGCCUCUGAAUAAACUGAGCGGGAGGAGACAGACAGUUCAAAGACGCCACGUAAAGAGAGACGUCAGAAACAAAAAAGAAAGGCAGUGGAUUGUUGACCAACUGGGUCAACUGUACCAAUCAUUCACAGUGAGUUAAAAGGCAAGAGACUGAAAUAAAUAAGACUUCACUCAACACAGAGAAGAUGAGACAAUGAGGAAAAAAAGAAAAGAGAAACUGACAAGAAAAAAGAAGAGGAAAGAUUGAAGAAAAUGUACAUAGUUCCACGUUAAAGUUUGAUGCAGCUCUGUUUUUCUGAAUGGACCGUCUUCAUCUCCACUGCAAGUACAGCAACCCAAGCAGAUGUUCUUUGAUUGUAUGUCUCACAAUUUUGUAAUCUAUCCCUGUUAAUUAAACUCUGAGAGCUGUGUGAC